rnacentral:rRNA from 1 species
GCAGGCGUUUGCUAUAAUGCAGUCGAACGCGUUGGCCCAACUGAUUGAACGUGCUUGCACGGACUUGACGUUGGUUUGCCAGCGAGUGGCGGACGGGUGAGUAACACGUAGGUAACCUGCCCCAAAGCGGGGGAUAACAUUUGGAAACAGAUGCUAAUACCGCAUAACAAUUUGAAUCGCAUGAUUCAAAUUUAAAAGAUGGCUUCGGCUAUCACUUUGGGAUGGACCUGCGGCGCAUUAGCUUGUUGGUAGGGUAACGGCCUACCAAGGCUGUGAUGCGUAGCCGAGUUGAGAGACUGAUCGGCCACAAUGGAACUGAGACACGGUCCAUACUCCUACGGGAGGCAGCAGUAGGGAAUCUUCCACAAUGGGCGCAAGCCUGAUGGAGCAACACCGCGUGAGUGAAGAAGGGUUUCGGCUCGUAAAGCUCUGUUGUUAGAGAAGAACGUGCGUGAGAGUAACUGUUCACGCAGUGACGGUAUCUAACCAGAAAGUCACGGCUAACUACGUGCCAGCAGCCGCGGUAAUACGUAGGUGGCAAGCGUUAUCCGGAUUUAUUGGGCGUAAAGCGAGCGCAGGCGGUUUGAUAAGUCUGAUGUGAAAGCCUUUGGCUUAACCAAAGAAGUGCAUCGGAAACUGUCAGACUUGAGUGCAGAAGAGGACAGUGGAACUCCAUGUGUAGCGGUGGAAUGCGUAGAUAUAUGGAAGAACACCAGUGGCGAAGGCGGCUGUCUGGUCUGCAACUGACGCUGAGGCUCGAAAGCAUGGGUAGCGAACAGGAUUAGAUACCCUGGUAGUCCAUGCCGUAACGAUGAGUGCUAGGUGUUGGAGGGUUUCCGCCCUUCAGUGCCGCAGCUAACGCAUUAAGCACUCCGCCUGGGGAGUACGACCGCAAGGUUGAAACUCAAAGGAAUUGACGGGGGCC